rfam:Camelus ferus unplaced genomic scaffold scaffold1792, whole genome shotgun sequence.
GAGGGUAUAGCUCAAGUGGUAGAGUGCAUGCUUAGCAUGCACAAGGCCCUGGGUUCAAUCCCCACUACCGCCU